GUCCUUAGUUACCAGCACGUUAUGGUGGGCACUCUAAGGAGAACUGCCGGUGGACAAACCGGACGGAAGGUGGGGAUGACGUCAAGUCAUCAUGGCCCUUACGGCCUGGGCUACACACGUGCUACAAUGGUCGGUACAAAGGGUUGCCAAGCCGCGAGGUGGAGCUAAUCCCAUAAAACCGAUCGUAGUCCGGAUCGCAGUCUGCAACUCGACUGCGUGAAGUCGGAAUCGCUAGUAAUCGUGAAUCAGAAUGUCACGGUGAAUACGUUCCCGGGCCUU
rnacentral:rRNA from 1 species